UCUUUCACAGCCUUCUCUCUCUAUAAAGCUGGUAGAUCGAUUUAUAAAUGGUAGGGUGGUCCAUGUGAGCUCGAUAGAGAGCUAGCUAGCUUUGUGUAGCUAGGGGCAAUUGGGCAUGGCCUUAUAAUCUCUCGCCCUCUCUUCUUUGCUAUGUUCUCUGUUCUUCUUUCUGCAUUUCCUCUCUUCUUGUUUCUCCUUCUCAGCAUGUCAUGAGACAGAUCUGAGGGUCAAUUCUCUGUUCGAGUCCUGGUCAUGCUCUUCCACAGCUUUCUUGAACUUCUUGAGCGUCUUGGUUGGUUAAUUGGAAGCCCUAGAAGCUCAAGAAAGCUGUGGGAUAACAUGGCGAUUCAGGCUUGUUUAGUUUUCCUUUGUUUAGGAUCUAUUGUACCGUGUGAGAAGAUCUAGAAAGUUGCAGAAUUUCCCGACGAAGAACCACGACGACGGCGUAUGGUGAAUUCCCAAGUUGCUCUUUUUGUUAUCCUUAUCCUUUCGUCGACUCAGAUUAAUUAUUCUCUCAUAUGCGGAAAGAGCAGGAAAAAAGGGAUCCGGUGUACCGGAAAAAUUCAUUUCAAAUCUUUCGUUUUCCACGGGAAGGAGAAAACCGAAGAUGGGAAAUAGUGGGAAAGUUUGAACACAGACACACGAAACCUCAAUUCUGAAUCACAUGAAUCUCAGUUCGUGAACUGUGACACAACAUUGUAUGAAUAAUGUUGCAGCAGAAGAAGUGAGGCCCCCAAAAAAAAAAGGAAGCUGAAUUCUGAGCCAAGUUUCGUAGUACGGAAUUAUUCUUUGGUUGCUUUUUGAGACCAUAGAGUUUGAAUCCCAGCUUUUGUUUUUGGGAAAGAAGAAAUGCAGUUUACUACUUGUGAUUAACUCUUGUGUAUAUAUCUGCUUCUCAGUUUCUCAUGCAAUGUAGUUAAAGUUGUCACUCAUUAUA